rnacentral:rRNA from 1 species
ACGGAAGGCAGCAGUGGGGAAUAUUGCACAACGGGCGAAAGCCUGAUGCAGCGACGCCGCGUGAGUGAAGAAGUAUCUCGGUAUGUAAAGCUCUAUCAGCAGGGAAGAAAAUGACGGUACCUGACUAAGAAGCCCCGGCUAACUACGUGCCAGCAGCCGCGGUAAUACGUAGGGGGCAAGCGUUAUCCGGAUUUACUGGGUGUAAAGGGAGCGUAGACGGUUUGGCAAGUCUGAAGUGAAAUGCGGGGGCUCAACUCCUGAACUGCUUUGGAAACUGUCGAACUAGAGUGCAGGAGAGGUAAGUGGAAUUCCUAGUGUAGCGGUGAAAUGCGUAGAUAUUAGGAGGAACACCAGUGGCGAAGGCGGCUUACUGGACUGUAACUGACGUUGAGGCUCGAAAGCGUGGGGAGCAAACAGGAUUAGAUACCCUGGUA